rnacentral:lncRNA from 1 species
CUGUUGUUCAAAUGUGUGACUUAAAGAAAUCAUGAAAAUCACAACAUUGUAAAAAGAAUCUUGAAUAGGAUAAAGUCUUUCCAGGCAAAAACUGAAGCCAGAAGCUACAAAGGAAAAUUUUGACAAACUAAGCUAUGCAAGAGGCAAAAACUUAUAUGUAGAAAAAAGGAAAAAUUGAAACUAAAAAGCUAAAUGCAUUUUCAAAACAUGUGGCA